rnacentral:rRNA from 1 species
UACGGAGGGUGCGAGCGUUAAUCGGAAUUACUGGGCGUAAAGCGUGCGUAGGCGGUUUGAUAAGCCAGAUGUGAAAUCCCGGGGCUUAACCUCGGAACUGCAUUUGGAACUGUUUGACUAGAGUACUGUAGAGGGGGGUAGAAUUUCAGGUGUAGCGGUGAAAUGCGUAGAGAUCUGAAGGAAUACCAGUGGCGAAGGCGGCCACCUGGACAGAUACUGACGCUGAGGCACGAAAGCGUGGGGAGCGAACAGG